GUACAGCAUCAGCUGCUAAAAAUCAAACUUAGUGAUGCCACAGGUGGCAAUGGUUACAUAAUUUGUGGGCCUUCUCACAAGUUAAAAUCCUGAGCCUCCUGUUCAAGGAAUGAUCUCUCUUAUGUGCCUCCAGCAAGAUGCCGUCUAGCAUGCUGUGAUGAACCCAGAAAGCCCUUACCAUACCUGAGCAAAUGCUGGGGUCAUGCUCUUGAAUCCCCAGAACUGAUCAGCCAAUCCACAUCUCUUCUCCUGAAGACACAAGGCUUUUUCUCCAUAACCUUACCGACACUUGCAGUAAAGGUUGGAGAAGAGCUGAAGAAAGUACUGUACCCUUUCAGAUGAAGACCCAAGGAGAGAUAAAAGCAGCCCCUGAAGGAUGGCUACUGAGUUUCACCUGGAUUCUCCUCUCAGAUUUCUACCAUUUUCCUAGUCUUCAAAAUUAGUUUAAUGCCUGUAUAAUCCUGUAUUAUAUGGAAAAUAACAUAAUUUAAUUAUGUAUCCCUAUUAUUGGAUGUUUAGACACUUAACAACUUGGCAAUAAAAUGGUUUUUAUGUGGGGACCCCAAAAAGGGGAGGGGAAGUCAUGAAAAAACUGCCUUUAACAGCACUCCUUAUGAAACACAGAGGAAAUCCCAUGUGAUUAUAUUUUAUAGUCACCCUCCAUACAAGAAGAAGGUAGAAUCCUAAAAUGUAAACCAGUGGAGUGAAUUUACUAAAGACUGAUCUGUGGAUGUUUUUCCAUUUCUGCCUGCUAGACGUGUUUACCAUUGAACUUCAUACAAAAGUGCAGCCCAGGAUCAACAGGACACCGAAAGGGAAGACAAUAGAACAACCAACCCGGGAAGGCACAUCUGUUGCUAAGCUGGCCACCUUCUCCAGUAUACUUCCUCUUGUGACUGAAGCUCCACUUAGAACAAAUUUGGCACGCAGAAGGAGCCAUGCACAGGCUGUUCUGUGUUGCUAA
rnacentral:lncRNA from 1 species